AUGCCUUGAAAUUAAUUCAAUACUGUGGUUUCAUAAAGAUUAACAGUACAUGUCCUUUUUGUGCUAUGGCAAAAGAAGAUAGACUCUGGCUCUGAUUAAAACCAUAGAAAGAACACAUAUAUGUUUACAGACAUAAAACAAAACUGGGCAGAAUUUCCUAGUCUGAUGUCAUGGCUCAAUUCAUAGAACCAUGGAAUCAGAGAACGGUUUGUGUUGGAAAGGACCUGAAAGGCCAUUUAGUUCCAACCCCACUGCUGUGGGCAGGGACGCCUUCAACUAGAACAGGUUGUUCAGUGACCCAUCCAAACUGACCCUAAACACUUGCAAGGAUGGUACAUGCACAGCUUCUCUAGGCAACCUAGUCCAGUACUUCAGCAUUCUUAAAGUAAAAAUUUCUUCACUAUAUCUAAUGUAAGCCUAUUCUCUUUCAGUUUGAAGUCAUUUUCCUUUGUUCUGUCACUACAUGCCCUUGUCAAUACUCUCCAACUUUCUUUUGGGCUGUUUUCAGGUACUGGAAAGCUGCUCUAAGGUCUUCCCAGAGCCUUGUCUUUUCCAAGCUGAACUUCCUCAACUUUCUCAGUCUGUCUUCCUAGCUCUCUCUAGCUCUCUGGUCAUCUUCAUGGCUUUCCUCUGGACUCAUUCCAAGGUGGUGGCCAAUAUUGACUGAAACAAGGAGACUGAGAUUGAGAUUCCACCACCUAUGUUUAUGUGUCUGCAGUGCAGACAAUUGCAUGCAAGCUAAUUGUGUCUAAGCUCCUGCUGCAGUCCAAGAGCAACAGAGAGUUAACACAGUCAAUGAAACAAUGAGAACUAUUCAAAUACAGACAUCAAAGUUACGGUGAGAUAAGCAGUUCCCUAUUGUCCACAGCUGACAAGAUCUGCAUCUGUAACAAGCAGCUAGCCUGCUAAAACUUAUGUUGCAUGUACCUAAACUUGUGUGUCUGGAUAUAGAGCUGAAUACUGCUCUAGGAGCUCAUAGUAACCUGGGGGCAAAGAUUCUUCUAGUGGUGCCUGCUUCAGUCUAUUGUGCAUUUGUAGCCAUCUUAGCCCAUUGGCCAAAUAAUUCAUUGCUGAAGGAAGUAAAAUUCCAGAUUUUAGUAGCUUUUGAAAGGUUUACAUGUAAUGUUACUGUUGUAAUAUUAGAAAAGUAAAGCGAGGCUCUAAUAAGUCCAGAACUAAGGAUACCACAUUGUUUGAUAGCAGAAGUUCAUAGGUCUGUCAGGACUCAGGCCUUGGGUGAUUUCUUUUUCAGACAAUGGCUGGAUUUGGAUGCAGUAGACAAUCUUCAGAAGUCCAAGGAAAGAUAAAUACCGAAUAUACGUAUGUCCCUUUUCAUAUGUAGUGUUUCUUCCUUUCCUAGGGGACUAAGACAGCAGACACCUGCACUUUUCAGCCAUUUUCAACCCAGAUGCAGUCAAUACUGCAGCAUCAUCUGUUACCAAAGAUCAGCAUUUUGUUACAAAUAUUCUGCUCUUUCUUCAAAGAGAGGAAGUGUAAAUCUUACUUGUCAACCAAGUUGGUACAUAAUAUUUUUAUUAUCUAACAGCUUUCAGUACAAUACAGUUAAAAACAUGAAAGUGAAUACAACCAAGUCCCACUGAUAUAUUACUACUAAAGGGUGGAAUAGAAAAAGAAGAUGCCACAACUUACAUAAAAACUUCAAAUAUAUAUAAAAAUAUAAUAUUAUUCUAUUAUAUAUGUAUUACUCUUAUGGACACAAGAAAUAUUAAAAUGAAUUGAAACUAUUGAAUCGAAUCUCUUUACACAAGUCGAGGGGUUUUAAUCAUGCUAAUUUUAUAGCAAUAUAAGAUCUCAUUUUAAUUUUCAUUUUGUAGGAGUAUUCUAGAGAAAGGCCAAACAUGUCAAUUGGUAUGCAGGCAGCAGUAUUUUCAGCUCUGAAUAUUUUAUCUGGUUUCUUGGUCUUUAUAUUUCUUCAGAUACUGCUCAGCACGUAGAAUUAAUACUGAUCACUGUGCUACUUACUCUGUCAGAGUGUCUCUGAAGUUAAUCCAGAGUCAUGCAAAAAAUGCUUCACUAUGUUCUCACAGAGGUUUUAAAAGGUCAAAAUUCUCCAUUAAUUUUUAAGAAAUGUGGUCGUUCUAAUUUGUACCAAUAAAGGUCUUUUUAUUUCCA